rnacentral:pre_miRNA from 1 species
CUUGGGGGGGGGGUCCCCUCAGCCUGGAUUGUAAGAGGGCACAAGCCAGGCUGAGAGACCCCACUGGUGCACG